UACAGAGGUCUCAAGCGUUGUUCGGAUUCAUUGGGCGUAAAGGGUGCGUAGGCGGUCGGGUAAGUCUGGCGUGAAAUCUCCAAGCCUAACUUGGAAACUGCGUUGGAUACUAUCCGGCUCGAGGAAUGGAGGGGAGACUGGAAUACUUGGUGUAGCAGUGAAAUGCGUAGAUAUCAAGUGGAACACCAGUGGCGAAGGCGAGUCUCUGGACAUUUCCUGACGCUGAGGCACGAAAGCCAGGGGAGCAAACAAG
rnacentral:rRNA from 1 species